UAUGGCUUCUAUUUAAUACUUUAGCCUCUAUGAUCUGAGUGUCAGUGUUCUAGAAUUGCCUCUGACAUUCCCAGGACCUUAUAUAUUAUGUGUAUGGCUUAGGUUUCUUGCAUUUAAUAUAUAAUGUUCUGUGAAAACUUAGGCUAGAUGACCAUAGGACAAGUUGGAAUGCAGGUAUUGUUAA